GGCAGCACACAGUCUGUUACAGCACACAGUGUCACCCAUGGUGCUCAACAGUUUGAGGCAUAAAGUAACAAUUCAAGAAAAGUUUAUUAAAUGAAAAGUUACAUGUGAUCUAUUUGCUGUGCAUUAAACCCUUUGUAGACCGUAUUGUUCAAUGUCAUACAGAUUAAAAUAUUUUUGUCAAAUUUUCUCUUUCAUUUUUUACCAUCAUGUACACAUAGAAAAGUACAUAAUGGUGUUCAGCUUAACGGAUGUGGAAGAUUUAAUUGUGGUUUGCAAAUGUUCACUCAUUUUCUCCAGGAACCCUUGUAAAAGAAGGAUGCUUCUUCUUCUAUUGAUGGGAGGCUUGGCAGCAUGAAUGGCUUUGGCAAUGACAUGGAGUUUGUGGACAGAUGUGGGAAGCAGCUUGCAAUGGGCUUGCUCUGUUGGGUUUAAUUUUUGAAUCUCUCUCCUUACAUAAGAAAAUACACCUCUGGCAUCCACUGGUCCCUAGCAACCAAGGCACACAGGGCACCCCUGCAUCGGCCUUCUUCUUGGAGCCCACUGGCCACGGCUCAUGUGGGCAACCCCUCACCACGGACCCAUGAGAAACAGAUGACCUCGGCUGUGCAGCAGUGACUGUGAGGAUGGCUUGAUCCACAGUUUGUCAUCGUGACUGCUUGCUGAUAAAAUCAGGAUUGCAUUUACUCCAUAAAUCAACCUGAGUGGCCCUGACAUCUUUGCAACGUUCUGAGUUUUCCAGGGCACAAUCUUGGCAUUUCCUUUUGUUCAUUUAGGUCUUCUUUAAUUUAUUCUCAAUCAUAAUUUCUGGUUUUCUGUGUGAAUGUCUUGAAAACCACUGACUAAAUUUAUUCUUAGGCAU
rnacentral:lncRNA from 1 species